AACGUAGGAGGCGAGCGUUAUCCGGAUUUACUGGGCGUAAAGCGCGCGCAGGCGGUUCCGUUAGUCGGACGUGAAAGCUCCUGGCUUAACUGGGAGAGGCCGUUCGAUACUGCGGGACUUGAGGUUGGGAGAGGAGUGUGGAAUUCCCGGUGUAGUGGUGGAAUGCGUAGAGAUCGGGAGGAACACCUGUGGCGAAAGCGGCACUCUGGCCCACACCUGACGCUGAGGUGCGAAAGCGUGGGUAGCAAACAGG
rnacentral:rRNA from 1 species